rnacentral:snRNA from 13 species
AUACUUACCUGGCGUAGGGGUUUACCGUGAUCAAUAAGGCGGUUCCCCCGGGGUGAGGCCCUUC